rnacentral:rRNA from 1 species
AUUGAACGCUGGCGGCAUGCCUUACACAUGCAAGUCGAACGGCAGCACGGGGCAACCUGGUGGCGAGUGGCGAACGGGUGAGUAAUGCAUCGGAACGUACCUUUCAGUGGGGGAUAACGUAGCGAAAGUUACGCUAAUACCGCAUAUUCUGUGAGCAGGAAAGCAGGGGAUCGCAAGACCUUGCGCUGAUUGAGCGGCCGAUGUCAGAGUAGCUAGUUGGGGGGGUAAAGGCUCGACAAGGCGACGAUCUGUAGCGGGUCUGAGAGGAUGAUCAGCCACACUGGAACUGAGACACGGUACAGACUCCUACGGGAGGCAGCAGUGGGGAAUUUUGGACAAUGGGGGCAACCCUGAUCCAGCCAUGCCGCGUGAGUGAAGAAGGCCUUCGGGUUGUAAAGCUCUUUCGGCCGGGAAGAAAUCGCACGGGCUAAUACCCUGUGUGGAUGACGGUACCGGAAUAAGAAGCACCGGCUAACUACGUGCCAGCAGCCGCAGUAA